GGUGAAAGGCGGAAGCUGAAUGUUUUUUUUUUUUAAAGCAACAAAGCACGCCUCCAUCUCAGUAACUUUGGAAGAAAAGUUAUUUACUUAUUAUGAAACUCGAAACAAUUUCGUUCAUACAAUUUUUGGAGCGAAAGUAACCGUCGAUCAAGCAAACAAAAGGGAUCGCGUCCAACUGAUAACCGCUUUUUUCGAUGAGGCUCGCUGGCAGCGUUCGGCCGAAGCUGUUUGUUAAGAAUUAUUUAAAUUUUCAAGAUGGUAAGCCUAUGGAAAUCAAGCAACUAGAGUAUAGCUUUUACUUUAAAUUUGCAAACUUUAUAGAUAUAAAAUUAUUAGCGCAACAAGAAAUAAUAAGUAAAAGUUCGAGCUGCGUGGA